CACUGUAGAGGGACGGGGACUCGGCGGUGUCGGAGGAUCACUUUUCAGGGGGCUUGCAGGAAACAAUUUUUGAUGCAUUUGAGGGAAGGAGAGAGGAUUUCUCGCAGAGGUUCCUAGACUUCCUUAUAAAUUACCCACAUCAAGCCAGGCCCCUCACAUCUCUUACUCUUCUUCAGCGAAAGAGCAUCCGGGACCUGCUGUCCCAGUGCUCACGAUAUUUACUUAGCAUAUUGUAAAAGCGCGCUCCUCGUUCGCAUCCAGUUGGGCCACUACCUGGAGGCAUCACUGGCAGUGAGAAGCUGGCUCAGCGGGGAAACAGGAGCAGGACCAGGAGGGCUGGGGUGAUUACAUUUCCUCACCCCCCAAGUCCCACCCCCAGCAGUCGGACAUCCCUGAGGAAUGAGAGUUGAUUCCUGCUGGACCUUGAGAGUGGGAUGGGUUUGCAGCCUGUGAACACAGACAAAGAGGAGACCUACCUCCACACAGUUCAUGGGGUCACAAAGAGCUGGACAUGAAUUAGCACCUGAACAACAACACAUCCAACCAUGGAAAAGAGCCAUGGAAAUAGGACCAAUAGAGACCAGAAUGUACCCACAAUUAUGACUAUGGAACAGAAGGACUGGAGGAAGCUACGAAGU